GCCUUAAUAGCUUAAUUGGAUAGAGCUUCUGGUUUCUACUCAGAAGGUUUCAGGUUCGAGUCCUGAUUAAGGUG